rnacentral:rRNA from 1 species
GACGAACCGUGCGAACGUUGUUCGGAAUCACUGGGCUUAAAGGGCGCGUAGGCGGGCUGUCAAGUCUGGGGUGAAAUGCCGCGGCUCAACCGUGGAACUGCCUCAGAUACUGACGGCCUCGAGGGAGUUAGGGGCAUGCGGAACUGUAGGUGUAGCGGUGAAAUGCGUUGAUAUCUACAGGAACUCCGGUGGCGAAAGCGGCGUGCUGGAUCUCUUCUGACGCUGAGGCUCGAAAGCUAGGGGAGCAAACGGG